UACGGGGGGGUGCGAGCGUUGUCCGGAAUCACUGGGCGUAAAGGGCGCGUAGGUGGUUUGAUAAGGGUGUGGUGAAAGUCCGGGGGCUCAACCCCGGAUCUGCCGUGCCGACUGUCAAACUCGAGGACUGUAGAGGCAGACGGAAUUCCCGGUGUAGUGGUGAAAUGCGUAGAUAUCGGGAGGAACACCAGUGGCGAAGGCGGCUUCCUGGCCUGUUCUUGACGCUGAGGCGCGAAAGCUAGGGGAGCAAACGGGG
rnacentral:rRNA from 1 species